rnacentral:lncRNA from 1 species
UGCCAUUUUAUGUAAUGCUGCUGACGCUGCCGGCAGCACGUUGAAUCCCGGUGUGUACAGUAGUUCCUUCUGCUUUUGGCAGCAGCAGAACGCUCUUCACCCCCCUCCCUUUCCUUUAGAAAACUUCAAGGGGUGUUAACGGUAUUCAGGCGCAUGAGACAGACAGCUAUGAAUGACAGUAGCUAAGGAGUCUCAGCUACACGCAAAUGAAAAACUAAUUGAAAGGUGACUGAAAUGGUUAUUAAUUCUUGCCUUCUAAUCUCGUCUAUAAGAAAAAGGCAGUGUGACUUUUAUUAAUCUGCUUAUCAUCCACAUUAUGGAACAAAUAAACAAACAAACAAAAACAACCCCAAACAACAACAGCAGAACUUCAGUUUAGAAGUUCUUGUAAAUCAUAGGAUCAUGGAAUUGCUCAGGCUGGAAAAGACCUUAAAGAUCAUUGAAUCCAACCACAACCUAACCAUACUACCCUAACUCUAACGACCCUCCGCUAAAUCGUAUCCCUGAGCACCACAUCCAAACGGUUUUUAAACACAUCCAGGGAUGGUGACUCAACCACCUCCAUGGGGAGCCUAUUCCAGUGCUUAACCACCCUUUCUGUAAAGAAGUGUUUCCUGAUAUCCAACUUAAACCUCCCCUGGUGCAACUUGAGGCCAUUUCCCCUCGUCCUGUCACCAGUGAGAAGAGACCAACCCCGCUCUUGCAGGAUUGCAUUCACUGGCAUUGCAGCCUGACCUUAUUAAAGAUAGCACCAAAACCAAGAAAUACCCCCAAGCCCAACAAGAAUAACAAUGAAACCAACAAAACCAAAACCCACCUAAACAUUUGGGCACGUUGUGUUGGCAGCGUUAGAGCAUAUGAGCGCACAGCAAAAGGUUUUUGCAGAGUUGGUGCUGUAGAAGAAAAUGAAUAGUCCUAAACCUAUGCAAGCACCGUGGCGGUGGUAUGACUUGCUCUGCACUUAGGAGUGACAAAUUAUUUUUCCAAAAAUAAUUAUUGCUAUAUUGAUAGUCCAAGGACAGGUGAUAAAGGUUGGAUUUUUGGAGGCGCUUCUUCCAGGGGUGUCAAACACCUCUUCAAACCCAGCCAUGUUGGGCUCCUGUGGACAAAAGUGCUCCAACAGUAGGAGACUCUUUGAGGUUAAAUCCACAGUUACGUGUUCUCUUGAAACUAGUGAGUUCCUCACUGAUACAACAGCUUUUCAGAGUGCAGUAUGCUUCUGCACUGGCGUGAAGGCUGGCUCAAAAAGCAGUGACAAUGAGGAUUUAGUAACUACCUUGAUGGAUGAAGAUGAUGCUUUGCUCGUAGUGUUUGAGGCAUUGCUUUAACUCAUCGUGCAGGACAAGGACAGUCUGUGGUUCCUAGAGCCAUGCUUUGAGAAAGCUGGGGAGAAGAGCUGGCAGAAAACAAGACCUGAACGUGGGUCAGAUGCAGCUCUCUGCAGCUCUCACCUGAGCUGCUAACGAGUGGAGCCGGGAUAAUGGAAGGGUGCUUCGUAGAAGAUGAAAGCUCAUGCAGUAGCUCAUUUGCCUUGAUUGCGUUCUUAAUCACCUCAGGUUAGUUUAAAACUUUGAAAAGAUGAGAUGUGGGACAGGUGCCUCAUAUUCAAGUGGGAGCUCGGGAGUGGCUGGUGUCGUGUAGAGGAGGCAGUGUGAUAGGAAGAGGCAGUCAUGAGAAGAGCACGAUGGGCUGUUUCAGAAGCCGCUGUGCCGAUGGCUUCGUUUUCCCAGGUCUUCUCCAGGAACAGGGGUUCCUAUCCAUCAUGAAGCAUAAAUCACAGCAGCAGGUGUUGUAAACAAGAGAAUUCCAGGCAAGCAAUUGCACGUACGAUACAUAGGGUGAGCCAGUAAUAGGCUAAUAUGUCGGAUUGAGAGUUUGUCGAUACGUUUGUAGCACGUAUCACCUGUCUGGGAGUUUGUGCAACUCUUUGGGUACUUCUAGUGAAUGUGUGAUGUUGCUCAUUAAAAACGCUGGUAAUUCCACGAGCAUCGUCCGUAAAUGUAAGCUGUACGUAUGCAUACACACACACCGAUCCUUCAGAUGCCGUUUAUAGAUCUGCGUCGGGCCGAAUACGUUGAAGCAAUGCUUACGAUUCGGUAGUGGCCGCCAGAUGGCGCUGUGCUCUUACCGCCCACCCGGCGGGAAAGCAGCGCGGGCUGUGGGAACAGCAGAGCCGGGCCCGGCGGCACCGCCUGGGGCGGUCGGUGCAGAUAAGGGCUGUGCGUCGUUGUCAUCUUCUUCAGUUUUUCGUGGGGUGCUAAGAGAAACGUGACCUGGGAGCUGGGCAUCGAUUUAAAGAAAUCCAUCGUUCGGUCUAGCAAGCUGUAGCCAUGGAUCUGGGCCCAUGAUUUUUCUGUGGAUGGAAUUGCAGAAUUUGAGUUAGCGAUGGAGUUUGUCAUAGAAUCACAGAAUGGUUUGGGUUGAAAGGGACUUCAAAGCCCACCCAGCCCCACUGUGGGCAGGGCUGUCCCCCAGCAGCUCAGCUGCCCAGGGCCCCAUCCAACCUGGCCUUGAGCACCUCCAGGGAUGGGGCACCAUAUCUUCUCUGGGCAGCUGUGCCAGCGCCUCACCACCCUCUGAGUGGAGAAUUUCCUCCUGACAUCUAACCUAAAUCUCCCUUAUUUUACUUUAAAGCCAUCCCCCCUUGUCCUGUCACAAUCAGACGGUGUAAAAUGUUGACUCCCUCCUGCUAUAAACUCCCUUCAAGUACUGGAAGGCUGCAUUGACGUCUCCCCAGAGCCUUCUCUUCUCCAAGCGGAACGAGCCCAGCACCCUCCGCCUUUCUUUCUAGGAGAGGUGCUCCAGCAAUCUGAGCAUCUUUGUGGCCCUCCUCUGGACCUGCUCCAAGAGCUCUGCAUCCUUCUUGUUCUAUGGGCCACAAGCCUGGAUGCAGCGCUCCAGACAGGGCCUCACGAUGGCAGAGCAGAGGGCGACGGGAGACCAGAAGGUGCAAUUCCAAACAGCUUGAACUGUUAGCUUUUCCUUUAUUUGAAAGCAGUGCUACCUUGCGCAGCUUUAUUUUCCAACAGAAUGCCUUGGGAAGGGCUAUGUGGUUCCCAUGGGAAAGGGCUGUGGGAGCAGUGUCAGCUUAGAUAAUCAGUGUUCCCUUAGCUAGUGAGGAUACUUGUGGUUUGAUUCCUCGCAACCAUCCUUUUUUUUUCUGCCUGAGAAGAAAUCUUCUUUCUUUACCUCAACUCCUGUGUUCAGUUUUGGGCCCCAUCCCUGGGGAGCACCUGCUCAAGAGCUGUGUGGAUGUGGCACUGAGGGACACGAUUAGUGGGCAUGGUGGGGGUGAGCUGAUGGUUGGACUAGGUGGUCUUAGAAGGCUGUUCUAGCCUUAAUGAUUCCGUGAUUAUUUAUUGCUUGCAGCAAAUAGUAAUUUUCUUUUAAAUUAACAGUGAGUGCUGGAGAGAAGGAAAAAGCUCUUGGAAAAUAUUUCUCAGAGGGGAAAAAAUAUGGCAAAUGAAUCAAAUAAUAAAAUUCAGAGUGAGUGGUGCUGUGUUUUAGUACCUACCCUUCAUUUUUAUGCCAGGAGGGGUAAAUUAUGCCACGUGGAACACACUUAGGCUUGGAUUCGUCCGUGCCCACACCUUUAUGUCUCCAUACAAAAGAGGAAAAGGAAGGCCCCUACUCUUAGACUCUGGCUGCUGCCUUUGCAGUGCUUUGUAAUUGCGGGCACGCUUCCUGAUGUGCAGCCUCAUCAUGCAGCAAUCUGCUGUCGUGGUUCCAAAAAUCCUGAGUCAUUUCUCAGAUGCAAACCUUUUGAAGCUGCUGGUGGAAGUCCCAUUGGCUUCACCGCACCUCUUCUCUUUGUGCAAGUGAGGCUGUGAUGAGUGGUGCAGUGGUGAAGAAAGAUGCUUUUGUUAUCCCGUGCCUUGCUUUCCAUUCUUGGAUCGUUUGGGGCUUUUUUCUCCUUAAGAAAGUGUCCUCCCCUGGGCUGUAGCCCUUAGAGCAAGGCACGUUUCAACUGCUCACAGCUCCCUUCUAACAAAUGCUUUCUUUCUGUGGCAACCACACCCUUUGCACGGACACACCACUGCCCCAACCUCACGAGCCGUGGCUGUUGUUGCUUGUGGUGUGCUUCCAGCCUGCGGUGCAGCUCACUUCGCUCACAGAGCUGUGAGACCUGGGGCAUCCCAGCUGCCUUCACCAGGGCUGCUGCCAGCGUCACGUUUGCAACCAAAGGCAGUAAGAAAGGAGCUUCUCUCUGCGCACAGCCCUCAACAGAGGGAUGCUGCAUCCUGAGCUAUGUAUCAACCUUUAGAGGUGGAAAUCUAACAGACCACUGACGUGCACAGAAUGCAAAGGAAUCCUUCAUUUUUCAAUUAGGCUUUUUUUUUUUUUAAUUUUUUUUAUUUCAACCAAUAGUUCGACAAGUGCUAAAACUUCCCCGGCAGUUUAAUCUGGAACAUAGAGUUGAGAAGAAAAAUACCUUCUAUAGCUUUACAAAAAUAUAAAAGAUUUUUCUUUCUUUUGAAUCCUGCACAUGAAGCAAGCACACCCCAACUCAGCAAAACAGACACUACAUCUUAAACUGCGGACCUCUGCUCAGCAAAAUGACUUUCUACCCCAGGGCAGCAGGCACAGUGUGUAAACGGUACAGAAACAGAGAAGGAAGGCGUGCUGCAGCGUUCCGAUCCCUUCUGUCCCUUUUUAAAACCAGAACGUCUUAAAAGAGUUUGCCGAAGAGCUUCUUCAGAUUGGUCCUGCCGGUCGGUCCUUGAGUAGGACGUCAAUGUGGUGUGAAGGGGAAAGGAGCGUUCACCUCUCUUGGUGAUCAAUGAGCAUGCCACCAUCCACCGUUUCAUGUUAAAGCUUUGGGAUGGGACAAGUUCAGUGGCUUCAAGCUGUGCCAGAGAAGGUUCAGGCUGGACGUUAGGAAAUGCUACUUCUCUGAAAGGGUGGUCAGGCACUGGAAUGGGCUGCCCAGAGAGGUGGUGGAGUCACCGAGCCUGGAGGUGUUCAAAGAGCGUUUGGAUGUUGUGUUGAGGGACAUGGUUUAGCAGGAACCAUUGGUGACAGGUGAAUGGUUGGACUGGGUGAUCCUGUGGAUCUUUCCCAACCUUGGUGACUCUAUGAUUCUGUGAUUCUAAGUUGCUUGGUUUGCUGCUAAGGCACUUGCUGCUUAACUUCUUCAGCAGUCAGGGCUGCCAGCACAUGAGGUCAGGCCGAAGGAACAAAAUGAAUGGAAUAUAUUGUAUCACAAAUGCAUAUGCCGUGCGGUGGUUAAUUUAGUGCCUGAUGAAAUGGGAAGAUCAGGGGAGCUCAGCACCUAGUUCUGCGCCUGUAACCGAGCAGAACCCUCACAGAGCACAGGGACUGACAAAUAAACCACAUGCUCUUAAGGCUGACAUAACUUUGUCCAACUUGGCUUCUGUUGGCUAACAGCAAAAUAAAGGGAAAAUACAGACCCAAGGAGGAAAGACGGGGCAGCAGAUGCUAGGAACCUAAAUCACAGAAUUAUGUUUCAAGUCGAUGAUACAAAUAAACCAGAAGAGCCAUUGUGUACCAGAGCCAAAACAAACCUGAAUUGGAUUAUUUGCAGUGCAUUAUGAAGGUCUUUUUCUAGUGCUUCCUUUUCAACCAUCUCUAAAUGGUAGGAAAAAGAAAUGCAUUUCUUGUACAGUUUGCACAAUCUGUGUCAUGUUUGUGCGUAGUGUAGCCCCAUGUCUUGGCAAACCUAGAUCUUUGCAAGCCUGUGCUUCACAAACAAGGGUUUAACUGCUGUAGUGCACAUGUGAAUGCACUUCCUUGAGGUAAGAACAAGACACGUAGUUAUAGAAUCACAGAAUCCUGAGAGUUGGAAGGGACCUCUGAAGGCCAUUUAGUCCAACUCCCCUGCAAUGAUCAGGGACACCACAGCUACACUGGGUUGCGCAGGGCUGAUCCAGCCUCGCCUUGAAAGUCUCCAGGCAUCCACUGCAUCACUGGGCAACCUGUUCCAGUGCCUCACCACCCUCGCUGCAAAAUAUCUUUUCCUUGCAUCUAACCUAAAUCUACCUUCUUUGAGCUUGAAGUUCUCUUAAGACUGUUGUAAUACUCCUGAUGUUAAGCAAUUAAAGCAGUGAUCAGUUGUGGCCCAUUGCCCUGGUGACUACAGAACGUGGUGCUAUGUGGUGGCUCCUUGGCGCUGGGUUCAGGCCUGCAUUACUGGGACAGAUGGGUUUCAGCCAGGACUCGGCUGUGUGUGGCAUAUACCUAGGGAAGGAUCAGGGUUUAAAAGCUCCCAGAUAUUUGUGUUUUGCAGAGAUGAGACUACCUAACCUGGCAGUGGUUGGUGGUGAAAGAAGCUUGUCUCAUGUGGUCAAAGGAACGCCACACCAGGCACAUCUUAACAUGUAAGAGCUAACAGGAGCUCGCUGAUGCAGCUAAGUCUUAAACAGAAAUGAGAAGCUUAGCCACUAUUUGAAGAGAUGUGUCUGGGAUCUUGUAAUAGCUCAGUAACUCAUCUGGAGAUGUGCUGCUGAAUACCUGCUGACAAUAAAAGUGAGUUCUAGCUAGAGAAAACCGAGCUCCCUUCUGGUUCUUAGGGCUUGACUUGCCAUAGUGAGUUUGGCUUUCAGCUCCUCCUAUCAGGCUGAAGAAGAAUCUGGUAUCAGGUGUGUGGAGGAGCACUGCUCGGCCAUCCUGGGCUUUCAUUCUGACUCUUGAGCUUUCAUGGGCUUUCUGCAGUUUUUCAUGCCUGAGAACAAGUGUGAAAGAUGUGACUGAUUUGGCAGCAAGAGCCUGUGAUUGUGCCCCCUCGUGCUGCCUCAAAAACGGGUGAGUGGACUUUGUUCCCACUCUGUGGAAGUCCCUGCCAUAGGCUGAUGCCAGCUUGGAACAAACUGCAGAAGGCAUGCACUGUGAGGAGGCAGAGAGCCUGAGUAUGGCCAUCUGCUGCCCGGCUUUUUCCUGCUUGAUUGGCCAGGAAGGCCCAUGUUAUCACUGCUUCCAAAGCAUGCUUUUGCUCUAGCAUACAGUAUGGAGACUCACGUAAUGCUGAAAGCUUUAUUCAGGAUGGGAUUUUCCUAUGACUCUGGGAAUGACCCAUUAGAGGGUUCUUCCUCCUAUAGCACAGGACUGGGCAGCUGGGAGCUGUGACCUCACGCCCUGUACUUCACUCACAGUUCCUCUUGGGAGCAAGUACACUUAUGACUAUCAGUAAAGGCCUCAAGGCUGAGCCAUGUCCUCAGUUACUCCCCAUUAAUGUGGGGAACAUGGUUCAUCCAUGAACCGUACUUCCUGGCUGGCCCUAAACACCUCCCUCACCCUCUCUGCUUUCACUCGUGUCAGUGUGUACAUGAGGAUGUACUGACCAUGGGAAAUCUGUGGGUUUCAGGGCAGGCUGCUGCUGAUGGAGCACAUGAUCUGAGGGCUCUCCCUAUCCAACUCUGCCAGCGGCAUCUGCCCAAAUCAAUGUGCACUCAAUGCAUGUUGGGACUGACUAGCAAGGAGAAAAGUGGGGAGGCAGCGGUGUUUGUGCAUCUCCUGCUCCUGGCUCUGGUAGGCAGGGCCAGCCUCCAUCCAUCAGACUAUGAGGGUCUUCUUCCUGCUGCGUUCUUUGCUCUUUAAAGUAAUGGCAGUACUGGGGCCCAUAGUGGGCUUGCUGCUGAGACCCAUCACUUGUUCCUAAAAGGCCACUUACAUCACUGAAACCAGGUGGCUCAGUAGGGCUGCACGUCAUUAGAUCUGCUGCUUUCAUUCACCCACCUGGCUGAUACAGCACCCAAGGCACAAACACUGUGUAUGGGGUAUUUAAGGCCUCAUGAAUAUGGCAAUGGAGCACGUCACUGAAGACUAUCAGCAGCUUACCUGUGCUGUGUAUAUCUGACAGAAAAAAUGCUGCUUCUAUCUGGCUUUAAGUGGACUUGGUUGUAACCACUUGCUAGAUACAUAAGAAAGUGCUGAAGCAAUUAUGCAGCUAACUAAAUUGAAUGAGAAAAUAUUAAACCACUGGUUAUUUUUACAAUGUGAUGACUGUAAAACAGUUUAAAUUACUUGGAAUAUCUUUUAAUUGGAGAUAUCGACCAUCGAGCACUAUCUCAGCGGAGGGCUGUCGACUUGCUGUUUCUUUCUGUGUUGAGCUGUGAGAUCACGGCCAGGUAAAUCCGUGUGGGUUUCCAUCCUAUAUACACAUCUCUACCAGAAUCCUGAAGCCAAGAGGAAACCGCCAUCACCGAUUUGUUGCAUGGAGUUAAAUUGUGAUGAGAAACCGAGCGUUGGGCAGAGCAGUACCACAAUGGUAAAAUGGCAGAGACAACGAAGCAGGAUCACAACGUUCACCCCAGCAGUUAAAACAAUAUAAAAGGAGACCCCCUCCCGCCCCCCAGAAGUCUGCAGUCCUAAAGUGCAAUUACUUUUGUGCAGUCAUGUCACGCCAGGGAUCAGACUGGAUGAAGUUCAAAGCACAAACAUCAAACGAGUGCCGUUCGUGAUUCAAGGAGGGGGGGAAAUAAGGAAAAGAACAACAGUUCUCAGGCAUUCAAGUGCAUCAAGAAAAUAAACGUCCCUUUCUUUCUGAAGCAAAACAACCCUCAGUCUGUGGAAUCCUGGCUUUGUAGUCAUGAAAAAUAGUUUUUUCACUUCUAGCUGAGAAUGUCCCAAUAUGACACAGUACAAAUAAACAACACCAAAGCAAGAGCUGAGGCACUGGGAUGUUUUGCUGGUGCCCUGCUGCUAUACAGCCGUAUUUUAUUCUCCUCUGGCGACUCUUCAGAUCUGGGUACGGAUGAAGCGCACUGAAUCAAAGGCAUCUGGUAGGACGUGGCUCUCUUUUCCGGUCGGUCGGGGCUGGACCCAUCGCUGGGUCGCUGGCCGUUGUACAGCAAGUACCUGCCCCUGGCAUCCUGCUCCAUCUUGAAGAUUUCAUACUCGGUGUGAGGCAGGCGGAUGCCAAGCGCGAUGCAGCCGUUGGUGUGGGUGACGUCUUGCUGCACACCGACUUGCCAGGAGCCCUGCGCUCCGCACUCGUUCCCGUUGAAGACGUUGAGCAGAGAGGCCGUGGACACAUCCAUCGGUGUGACCUUCAUGUGGUUCACUUUGAAGACGAACUCUGUUCCGCCCAUCACUUUGGCCGAGUGCACUCCUCGGCUGUAGCGGCCCUUGGCAUAGAUGGUGAAGGUGGGAUGCUUGCAGAUGGGGUCGGAGUAGUGGUAGUAGUGGCCCUCCCAGGUGUUGUUGUUGUCAUGGAAAAUGAAGUGCCGCGUGAGGAAGAGGACCUCCGGCCGCACCUCACAGCGCUGGCUCACCCACUCGCCAUGCAGCCCGAUGGUCAGGUCUGCCUUGGGGGGCAGGAUGGGUGGGUGGUGCUCAUCGGAGCGGUAGAUGAUCCUGCAUGCAAUGCACGUGCGGUCAUGGUUCUUGGCAUUUUGAAGAGGAGGCUGGUAACUGGAGGGUCGGUAGUACCUCCUCUGGGUAGCAUCAGUAUGAAUGUCUCCAAGAAAUAGCUCCUCCACGAGGUGAUCUAAAUUGUGAUGCAGAUAUUGCUUCUCCACCCGGAUCAGCUGGAGUUCAUGCAUGGCAAAAUUCAGAGCCUUGGUGCAUUCACAGCCAUUCUCUUCUCUGAGCAAAUCAUAGCUCACAUCCUGCUCCCAGGGACUAUCUUCCGGUAUAAAUCCAGGACAUGUAUUGUUGACCAACUCACUUAAUUUUUUGGCUACUGCUUCAUUGUGGCUUAUGAUCUGUAUGUUGCGCAGCUGAUAAUCAGCUUCAGUACCCCCUCGGAUGAUCCAGGAUGCUUGGCGGAGACGAAUUUUGCCACGUAUAACUAAUGUGUAGAUAGGGUUAGUGCAGCGAUUGCCACCAUAGUAAAACUGAUAUGCUUUAAAUGUAUUAUUGUGAUAGAAUCUGUAGGACCUUGUGAUGAACUCUGGACCUGCUCUGACUUCACAGCCGGUAGAGACCCAGUGUCCCUCUAUAUUGGGAGGCAUUUGCACAGUGAUGCGGGCCCCAUUGUGGAGGUGUUUCAGCAUGUGAUGACACUGUGACUCCUUGAAAGCCCUCCAUGCACUCUUCUCUAAGGAGCGGGGGUGGGACCUGCUGUCCGGAUGAAGAAGAGCAGAACCUUCUCCCAGCCCGUGCAGCAGCAGGGCCGGGAACAGGUACCGCAUCAGGCUGCCGUACGGGACGAACAUCUCCGCGCUCCGUGCCGGGGCCGCGACCGCGCACAGCGGGCCGUGCCGCGCUCAGCGCCGCGCCGGGCAGCCCAUGGCCGGCGGGGGCGGCAGCGCGGCCGGGGCACACCGCCUCUCCUUCGGGAACCCGUCCCUCGCUCCUGAGCUCGGGCUCCGCUCGCCGCCUCCUCACCCGUAUCCACGAAGCCCGGCGGCGGCUCCGCUUCAUAUUUCUCCUUCCAGCGGGAGGAGGAGGGGUCGGGAGGUGGGGACUCCCGCGCUGCCGCCGCCGGGAGGGGUGGAGGGCGGGCUGGAGGGACGGCCCGUGGGGUGUCCGCCGCCGGGCGGGGGCGGGUAGGGGCGCGGGAGGGUGCGCUGUGGGGGAGGGCGGGCGGUGUUGGGGCGGGCCGAGUGCUGCCGUGUGGUUCUCGGCAGGUACGGUGCGGCUGUGUGUCGCUGUGGGCAGGGGGACAGAAGUCGAGGAGAGGAAACGUUUUGGCCGCGGUUCUCCACAUAAAUUAGACGUUUUAAAGAACAGGCGUCUGAGUUGCCGCCUUUGAUUUUGCACUCCGUACGUUUUCCCAUGGCCAUAGAAUCAGCACAUCGUGAGUUGGAAGGGACCCACAAGGACCAUCGAGUCCAACUCUAGGCGCCACACAGGCCAUCCAAAAUCCUAACCUAUGCCUGAGAGCACUGUCCAAACGCCCCUUGAACUCUGGCACUUGGGCCCGUGACCACUGGGCAGCCCGUUCCAUGCCCACCGCCCUCUGGUGCAGCACCUGUCCCCAACCCCCAGCUGCCCCUCCCCUGGCACAGCUCCAUGCCGUUCCCUCGGGCCCUGUCGCUGUCACACAGAGCAGAGCUCAGCGCUGCCCCUCCGCUCCCUGUGAGGAGCUGCGGCCGCCAUCAGGCCUCCCCUCAGCUCCUCUGCUCUGCGCUGAGCACACCCAGGGACCUCAGUCACCCCGAGUCUUUCAUCCUGGUCGUGCAAACACAUGUUCUUAAGAGCUGUACACCUUAACAACUUUUGUCUGAGUUUGAGCGCCGGGCUUUGUUUUAUACUGCCCACUGCUCACAAACAUCCUAUUUUCUGGUUUUUGUUUACGUCCGUGGGCUCAGCUGUAGUGUCCUAUGACAAAGAAUGUGUAACAAAUUGGAAAAUUUUGAGAAAAUCAAUGUAACUGAGUUUUGAAUGGUUUAAGCUAAAGUGUUUACACGCUGAGUGAUUAAAAAGAAAUACAAACAACAAUGACUCUUUCCAGCUCCCUUGAGAAGGAAGAAUAAAUUUAAUCUUCCUCGCUUAUACAGGGAGGAAGCUGAGACAGAAACAAGUAGUGGUGAGUCAGAAUGCGA